rnacentral:rRNA from 1 species
UGGGGAAUAUUGCACAAUGGAGGGAACUCUGAUGCAGCGACGCCGCGUGAGUGAUGAAGGAAUUCGUUUCGUAAAACUCUGUUCUAUGGGAAGAAAAGGACUGUACCAUAGGAGAAAGCUCCGGCUAAAUACGUGCCAGCAGCCGCGGUAAUACGUAUGGAGCGAGCGUUGUCCGGAAUUAUUGGGCGUAAAGGGUGCGCAGGCGGCUUUACAAGUUGGAUGUGAAAUAUUGUGGCUCAACCACAAACGUGCAUCCAAAACUGCAAAGCUUGAGUUAAGGAGAGGUAAGUGGAAUUCCUGGUGUAGCGGUGGAAUGCGUAGAUAUCAGGAGGAAUACCGGUGGCGAAGGCGACUUACUGGACUUAAACUGACGCUGAGGCACGAAAGCGUGGGGAGCAAACAGG